UCCCAGCCCCCUCCCCUAACCCUAGCCCCCUCCCCCGCCGCCCACUUCCCCGGCGUCGCCGCCGUCGUCCACCACCACCCCCACCGCGCCCCCACCCUCUCCCCGUUGCUGCCGGCCCUCACCUUCUCCCAAUCCCCUCACCUUCUCUCCCGUGGCCGGUGGAUUCGCCCCUCGCGGGAUCGAUUCCUCCGAGCCGACGGGGUCUUCAGGGCCGGACGGGAGCGACACGUCCCCCAUCGGCGCGUUGGUGAGUGCGGCGGCGGCCGUGACCGAGCUCGAGCCCGUAGCUCAGAUCCUUCAGGGCCGGACGGGAGCGGCGCGUCCCCCAUCGGUGCAUUGGUGAGCGCGGCGGCGGCCGUGGCCAAGCUCGAGCCCGCAGCUCAGAUCCGCAGGAUCCCGUCAAGAGCCUCGGCCCAUCCCAUGGAGAAGAUGUUGCGGCUCUUCUAGCUCCCCUCCCCUGCGCAGGUUGUGGGUACAACCGUAACCAGCAAAUCAGCCACAUCUGCAGCAAAUCAGCCUGAGGAGGUGGAGGAGCAGGCACCCAGAACCAACAUGGUUGCAGGAAUAGCUUUAUAUUAGGAGCAGCUUCUCCACCACCACUCGGCGGUAGAGGGGGUGUGCUUCUUCCCCAACACAACAUAGCGGCAGCCACGGUAUCCUCGGCCCUCUCCCUCUAUCUACCCUCUUCUGUUCCUUACCGAAAAAUCAUUUUUUUACCUUGUAUAAUACUUGUGAUUUGGACCGAUUUGUGUUUUGGGGGGCAUCAAUUUGGUGCUUCCCCCGUCCAUGUGCUGCAGAGAAAAGGAGAAGAAGGGGAUGGAUGAGCAAGGAGCAGAAGGACCUGAAGAAGAAGGGCAAGGGAGGUGGGGCGAUAUGCAUGUCCAGGG